rnacentral:lncRNA from 1 species
GUCAUCUCUCAUCACACCCAGAGGGUGUGCAGAGCUUUGACUGGAGUUCUAUUUUGGACAAAACUUUAAAACUCAAGCAGACCUUCCAUGCAACAUCUGGCCCAACAGCUGUAUUUUGAAAAUGGAUGAAGUAAGAGCUACAGAAGUGGAAUCACUGAGUGAACUAAGGCAGAACCAAGGAAUGAAGAGUCCCUGCCUCCGGGGAAGAAAGAAGAGCAUCUUGUACCAUCCUUGA